AUGCAUACGAAAAUUUAAGGCAACACGAGUUGCAGACCAACAGCAGAUAUGCUUCUUCUAAGGUUACAAAGGAUUUCGGAAAGAUUGUUCCAGUUCAAUCUAUUCAGUGCAUUAUGUGAUACCGUCUGUUGCAAAUGAGGAUUUGAAAUCUUUUUUCGAAGAGGAAACAGGUCAAUCGGAGAACUAUAUUUAUAAAGUGAUGGUGAAGGAGGCAAUGAUAACAAUAAUGCAGGAGGCCAUAGGUGACGAAUAUGAAAAUGUGGACGUGGAGCUGCGGAAAACAGAGGGGAAAACUACAAAUAAAUCCAAUUCACUUCUGUUGAAUUAUAUCAUGAACGACAGAGAAAAGUACAUCCAAUUACACAAGAGGAAUUAAUGCAUGAUCUGCUCCAUUACAAGUUAUUUGUGACACUAUAUUGAUCUGAAUUCAUACGACUAGAGGUCGUUAAAGUCAAGUACCCAGGACUUUUAUUUCCCUGCUGUAACAAUUGCUCUACAUUGUCUAAUAUGUUGAAAGAUUUAUUUCACGUGACCAUGCAGUUGAAAGAUGUUACACCAUAUGUUCUUCAUGAUUGUGCGUGAUCAUGCAAGUGUGUUGAUUGGAAAUAAGUUAUUGCAGAAUUAUAUUCCCUCAUUUCAAGUGCACCAUUUAACUACUGCAUGGACUGUCGUGACAAUUUGCAUGGGUGUUCCUUGGAUUAAAUUCAUAUUCAAAUAAAUGUUUAGAAUUGGAUAUGAUUGUAACUUUUCUGCACGGCUGAUAUUAAUAUAAAGUUUUUUAUAUGUAUUGCAGUCAUUUCUGAUUAACUCUUAUUGUACCCCCCGACAGCAAAGUUGUAAGGGGGGGUAUACUGGUUUCAGGUUGUCUGUCUGUCUGUCUGUCCGUCUGUCUGUCCGUCUGUCCGUAGACGCAAUCUUGUGCGCACCAUCUCUCCUUAUCCCCUUGACAGAAUUUAAUGACACUUCACACAAGUGAUCAGUACCAACAGUAGUUGUGCAUGGGGCAUGUUAGGUUCUUUUAGAAAAAAAAUUUGCAGAGUUAUGGGACUUUGUUUUUUGUUACUAUACUAUAUACAUAGACACAAUCUUGUGCGCACCAUCUCUCCUCAUCCCCUUGACACAAUUUAAUGAAACUUCACACAAGUGAUCAGUACCAACAGUAGUUGUGCAUGGGGCAUGUUAGGUUCUUUUAGAAAAAAAAUUUGCAGAGUUAUGGGACUUUGUUUUUUUUGUUACUAUACUAUAUACAUAGACACAAUCUUGUGCGCACCAUCUCUCCUCAUCCCCUUGACACAGUUUAACGAAACUUCACACAAGUGAUCAGUACCAACGUAGUUGUGCAUGGGGCAUGUUAGCUUCUUUUAGAAAAAAAAUUUGCAGAGUUAUGGGACUUUUUUUUUUUGUUACUAUACUAUAUAUAUAGACACAAUGUUGUGCGCACCAUCUUUCCUCAUCUCCUUGACACAAUUUAAUGAAACUUCACACAAGUGAUCAGUAACAACAGUAGUUGUGCACGGGGCAUGUUAGGUUCUUUCAGUGACAAAAAUUGCAGAGUUAUGGGACUUUGUAUCUUGUUAACAUACUAUGUACAUACAGUCUGCAUAUGCAAUCUUGUGCAUGCCUAAUCUACCAAACCCUUGCACACAAUUUAAUGAAACUUCACACAAGUGAUCAGUACCUGAACCCUAGUUGUGCAUGGUGCAUGUUACAUUCUUUUAGAUAAAUAUUCUGCAUAGUUAUGGGACUUCGUUUUUUGUUACUAUACUGUAUACAUACAGUCUAUAUAUAUAUACAGUCCACAUAAUUAUGCAAUCUUGUGUGCGUCAAAUUGCAAUGUACUGUGUCAGUGCAUGCGGGGGGUACAUUCAUCACCUUUAGUGAUAGCUCUAGUUAUUUUGGGAAUUCCCAAUUAACAGCAUUUUUGUUGCCAAUAUAAUAUCUGAAAUUUUUAUAUGGUUUGUAUAGUAAGGCAGUCCAGUUUGCAUAUGGGUUAUUUGUAAACAUAUUUUUGCAAAUGCCCUGCAGAAGUAAGAUUUGGAAGCUUACUUUAAACCGAUAUCCUACUCCAUAUAGAAAUAAAAUUAAACUUUUAUACUGUAUUUAAACAUGAUAUGUAAAUGUACAAAACAUGUUUUAGACUUAUCUGUCAAUUGUUAAAAGGUGUAUGUCCCUUUGAAUAUACAUGCAUGUCAGUUCGAUUAUUAAUUGCCUUUACUAUCUGACAAAUAAAUUUGAAAAAACGAA